rnacentral:rRNA from 1 species
UACAGAGGUGGCAAGCGUUGUUCGGAAUUACUGGGCGUAAAGGGCGCGUAGGCGGCUUGGUCAGUCCCGUGUGAAAUCCCUCGGCUCAACUGAGGAACUGCACGGGAAACUGCCUGGCUUGAGUUCGGGAGAGGGAAGCGGAAUUCCGGGUGUAGCGGUGGAAUGCGUAGAGAUCCGGAAGAACACCGGAGGCGAAGGCGGCUUGCUGGGCGUGAUCUGACGCUGAGGCGCGAAAGCGUGGGGAGCGAACAGG